ensembl:lncRNA
GACACCUGCUCGUCAAACAUCUCAUUGCAAAAUCAUGGGCAUUAAUAUAGAGUUGGUCCCCCCUUUGCUGCUAUAACAGCCUCCACUCUUUUGGGAAGGCUUUCCACUAGAUGUUGGAUCAUUGCUGUGGGAACUUGUUUCCAUUCAGCCACAAGGGCAUUAGUGAGGUCGGGCACUGAUGUGGGGCAAUUAGGCCUGGCUCGCAGUCGGCGUUCCAAUUCAGCCCAAAGGUGUUUGAUAGGGUUGAGUGACGCAGCGGGUGACGCAGCGGUCUACGGCACUGCAUCUCAAUGCUAGAGGCGACACUACAGACCCUGUUUCGAUUCUAGGCUGUAACACAACCAGCUGUGAUUAGGAGCCCCAUAGGACGGCGCACAUUUUGCCCAAGUUCUUAACGAACUUGCCUAGUAAAAUAAAGGAUAAAUAAAUAAAAAUACAAAAUGCUGUAGUGUUAAGAUUUCCCUUCACUGGAACUAAGGGACCUAGCCCGAACCGUGAAAAAACAUCCCAGACCAUUAUUCCUCCUACACCAAACAUUACAGUUGGCACUAUGCAUUGGGGCAAGUAGCAUUCUCCUGGCAUCUGCCAAAGCCAGAUUAGUUUGUUGAACUGCCAGAUGGUGAAGUGUGAUUCAUCACUCCAGAGAAUGCGUUUCCACUGCUCCAGAGUCCAAUGACGGCGAGCUUUACACCACUCCAGCCGACACUUGGCAUGGUGAACUUAGGCUUGUAUGCAGCUGCUCAGCCAUAGAAACCCAUUUCAUGAAUCUCCCGAUGAACAGUUAUUGUGCUGACGUUGCUUCCAGAGGCAGUUUGUAACUCGGUAGUGAGUGUUGUAACCGAGGACAUGCAAUUUUUAUUCGCUACGCAUUUCAGCGGCCCUGUUCUGUGAGCUUGUGGGGCCUACCACUUCGCGGCUCAGCCAUUGUUGCUCCUAGACGUUUCCACUUCACGCAGCACUUACAGUUGACCGGGGAAGCUCCAGCAGGGCAGAAAUGUGAUGAACUGACUUGUUAGGAAGGUGGCAUCCUAUGACAGUGCCACGUUGAAAGUCACUGAGCUCUUCAAUAAGGC